CACAAUGUAUUUUGAUAUUUCUGCUAAUCAAUGACGAUUCUCUCUGACCAAUCGGUGGUCUGCAAUGUUUUAACUCCUUCAAGUAUCGGUUCAGCUCGCUUGGAACCUCGACCGAGGCGAUACCAAAAAAAUACCA